GAUGAACGCUGGCGGCGUGCCUAAUACAUGCAAGUCGAGCGAACGGACGAGAAGCUUGCUUCUCUGAUGUUAGCGGCGGACGGGUGAGUAACACGUGGAUAACCUACCUAUAAGACUGGGAUAACUUCGGGAAACCGGAGCUAAUACCGGAUGAUAUUUUGAACCGCAUGGUUCAAAAGUGAAAGACGGUCUUGCUGUCACUUAUAGAUGGAUCCGCGCUGCAUUAGCUAGUUGGUAAGGUAACGGCUUACCAAGGCAACGAUGCAUAGCCGACCUGAGAGGGUGAUCGGCCACACUGGAACUGAGACACGGUCCAGACUCCUACGGGAGGCAGCAGUAGGGAAUCUUCCGCAAUGGGCGAAAGCCUGACGGAGCAACGCCGCGUGAGUGAUGAAGGUCUUCGGAUCGUAAAACUCUGUUAUUAGGGAAGAACAUAUGUGUAAGUAACUGUGCACAUCUUGACGGUACCUAAUCAGAAAGCCACGGCUAACUA
rnacentral:rRNA from 1 species